GCCCGGAUGGCGGAACAGGUAGACGCAGCGGACUUAAAAUCCGCCGGCCGCGAGGCCGUGCCGGUUCGAUCCCGGCUCCGGGCA
rnacentral:tRNA from 1 species